rnacentral:rRNA from 1 species
UAGUAACUGCGAGUGAAGCGGGAAAAGCUCAAAUUUGAAAUCUGGUGGUCUUUGGCCAUCCGAGUUGUAAUUUAGAGAAGCGUCUUCCGCGCUGGACCNUGCAUAAGUCUCCUGGAAUGGAGCGUCAUAGAGGGUGAGAAUCCCGUCUUUGGCAUGGACCCCCAGGGCUUCUGUGAUGCGCUCUCAAAGAGUCGAGUUGUUUGGGAAUGCAGCUCAAAAUGGGUGGUGAACUCCAUCUAAAGCUAAAUAUUGGCGAGAGACCGAUAGCGAACAAGUACCGUGAGGGAAAGAUGAAAAGCACUUUGGAAAGAGAGUGAAACAGUACGUGAAAUUGUUGAAAGGGAAACGCUUGAAGUCAGUCGCGUCGACCGAGACUCAGCCUUGCCUUUGGCUUGGUGUACUUCUCGGCUGACGGGUCAGCAUCAAUUUUGAUCCUUGGAUAAUGGCAAGGGAAAGGUAGCACCUUUACAGGUGUGUUAUAGUCCUCUGUCGGAUGCAAGGGUUGGGAUUGAGGAACUCAGCAUGCACCUUGUCGGUGUCGGGGCCUUUUGGCCUACGUUACGUGCUUAGGAUGCUGGCAUAAUGGCUUUAAACGACCCGUCUUGAAACACGGACCAAGGAGUCUAACAUGCCCGCGAGUGUUCGGGUGGAAAACCCGUGCGCGUAAUGAAAGUAAAAGUUUGGGACCUCUGUCGUGGAGGGCACCGACGCCCGGACCAGACCUUCUGUGACGGCUCUGCGGUAGAGCGUGUAUGUUGGGACCCGAAAGAUGGUGAACUAUGCCUGAAUA